rnacentral:rRNA from 1 species
UUAGAGUUUGAUCCUGGCUCAGAUUGAACGCUGGCGGCAGGCUUAACACAUGCAAGUCGAGCGGUAACAGGAAUUAGCUUGCUAAUUUGCUGACGAGCGGCGGACGGGUGAGUAACGCGUAGGAAUCUGCCUGGUAGUGGGGGACAACAUGUGGAAACGCAUGCUAAUACCGCAUACGCCCUACGGGGGAAAGGAGGGGAUCUUCGGACCUUUCGCUAUCAGAUGAGCCUGCGUGAGAUUAGCUAGUUGGUGGGGUGAAGGCUCACCAAGGCGACGAUCUCUAGCUGGUCUGAGAGGAUGAUCAGCCACACUGGGACUGAGACACGGCCCAGACUCCUACGGGAGGCAGCAGUGGGGAAUAUUGGACAAUGGGGGAAACCCUGAUCUAGCCAUGCCGCGUGAGUGACGAAGGCCUUAGGGUCGUAAAGCUCUUUCAGCUGUGAAGAUAAUGACGGUAGCAGCAGAAGAAACCCCGGCUAACUCCGUGCCAGCAGCCGCGGUAAUCUCCAGGCACACGCUAGGCCCUUUCCCG